AGUGAACGCUGGCGGUAGGCCUAACACAUGCAAGUCGAACGGCAGCACAGUAAGAGCUUGCUCUUACGGGUGGCGAGUGGCGGACGGGUGAGGAAUACAUCGGAAUCUACUUUUUCGUGGGGGAUAACGUAGGGAAACUUACGCUAAUACCGCAUACGACCUGCGGGUGAAAGCAGGGGAUCUUCGGACCUUGCGCGAUUGAAUGAGCCGAUGUCGGAUUAGCUAGUUGGCGGGGUAAAGGCCCACCAAGGCGACGAUCCGUAGCUGGUCUGAGAGGAUGAUCAGCCACACUGGAACUGAGACACGGUCCAGACUCCUACGGGAGGCAGCAGCGGGGAAUAUUGGACAAUGGGCGCAAGCCUGAUCCAGCCAUACCGCGUGGGUGAAGAAGGCCUUCGGGUUGUAGAGCCCUUUUGUUGGGAAAGAAAAGCAGCAGGUUAAUACCCCGCUGUUCUGACGGUACCCAAAGAAUAAGCACCGGCUAACUUCGUG
rnacentral:rRNA from 1 species